AAAAGUUUGGUCCUGGCUUUUUUAUUAAUUAUUAGCAGAAUUAUACAUGCAAGUAUCACCAUCCCUGUGAAAAUGCCCUAUAAAUCAUUAAUGAUUCCAAAGGAGCUGGUAUCAAGCACACUCAUAGUAGCUCAUAACACCUUGCUCAGCCACACCCCCACGGGAUACAGCAGUAAUUGAAAUUAAGCAAUAAACGAAAGUUUGACUAAGUCAUGCAACAUAACAUAGGGUUGGUAAAUCUCGUGCCAGCCACCGCGGUCAUACGAGAAACCCUAAUUAAUAAACUCCGGCGUAAAGAGUGUAAAAAAUAAAUUCAAAAUAAGAUAAAGCCCUAUCUAAAUUGUAAAAAAUAAUAGAUAAAGAUAAGCUCAAUAACGAAAGUAAUCUUAAUAACUCUGAAUACACCAAAGCCAAGGCUCAAACUGGGAUUAGAUACCCCACUAUGCUUGGCUGUAAACAAAGACAUUUUACAACAAAAAUUUUCGCCUGAGAACUACUAGCAACAGCUUAAAACUCAAAGGACUUGGCGGUGCUUUAAACCCACCUAGAGGAGCCUGUUCUAUAAUCGAUAAACCCCGAUAAACCUUACCACUUCUAGCUAAAUCAGUCUAUAUACCGCCAUCUUCAGCAAACCCUAUUAGGGAAUAAAAGUAAGCACAAUGAUAAUCAUAAAAACGUUAGGUCAAGGUGUAACUAAUGAAGUGGAAAGAAAUGGGCUACAUUUUCUCUGAUUAAGAGAAUAUAAACAGUAAUCUUUAUGAAAGCUAAAGAUCUUAAGGAGGAUUUAGUAGUAAAUUAAGAAUAGAGAGCUUAAUUGAAUUAGGCUAUAAAGCACGCACACACCGCCCGUCACCCUCCUCAAAUAUCAAUUCUAAUUUAUCCAAAUUAUCAUAAUAUGAGAGGAGAUAAGUCGUAACAAGGUAAGCAUACUGGAAAGUGUGCUUGGAUGAA
rnacentral:ncRNA from 1 species